CUACAGGCUUAACACAUGCAAGUCGAGGGGCAGCAUGGAGUUGCUGCAAACUCUGAUGGCGACCGGCGCACGGGUGACGUAACGCGUAUCCAACCUUCCCUAUAGUAGAGGAUAGCCCAGCGAAAGUCGGAUUAAUACUCUAUGUUUUCCGUUGCAGACAUCUAAGAUGGAACAAAGGCUUGCCGCUAUAGGAUGGGGAUGCGUCUGAUUAGAUAGUAGGCGGGGUAACGGCCCACCUAGUCGACGAUCAGUAGGGUUCUGAGAGGAAGGUCCCCCACAUUGGAACUGAGACACGGUCCAAACUCCUACGGGAGGCAGCAGUGAGGAAUAUUGGUCAAUGGGCGAGAGCCUGAACCAGCCAAGUAGCGUGACAGGAUGACGGCCCUAUGGGUUGUAAACUGUCUUUUAUAUGGGGAUAAAGUCACCCACGUGUGGGUGUUUGUAGGUACCAUAUGAAUAAGGACCGGCUAAUUCCGUGCCAGCAGCGGC
rnacentral:rRNA from 1 species